GACGAACGCUGGCGGCGUGCUUAACACAUGCAAGUCGAACGGUGAAGCGCCUUCCUUUUUGGUGGGUGUGGAUGAGUGGCGAACGGGUGAGUAACACGUGAGUAACCUGCCCCCUUCUUCUGGAUAACCGCAUGAAAGUGUGGCUAAUACGGGAUAUUCUGGGUCUGUCGCAUGAUGGGUCUGGGAAAGAUAUUGUUUCGGUGGGGGAUGGGCUCGCGGCCUAUCAGCUUGUUGGUGGGGUGAUAGCCUACCAAGGCGGUGACGGGUAGCCGGCCUGAGAGGGUGGACGGUCACACUGGGACUGAGACACGGCCCAGACUCCUACGGGAGGCAGCAGUGGGGAAUAUUGCACAAUGGGCGCAAGCCUGAUGCAGCGACGCCGCGGGAGGGAUGGAGGCCUUCGGGUUGUGAACCUCUUUCGCCAGUGAAGCAGGCCUGCCUCGUUUGUGGGUGGGUUGACGGUAGCUGGAUAAGAAGCGCCGGCUAACUACGUG
rnacentral:rRNA from 1 species